CAGCGACUGGAGGCCAAUGAGAAGCGUUCCUCCCGUGAGCGCUGGCGCCGGCCCGAACACACACGGAGGGUUGGCGUGACGAGACGAAGACUGCCGUGAAGAAGACGCCAACUUGACAGCUGUUCCAUACGACAGCGACGCAGGCGGAGGCCUCCCCUGUCCUCGUCUACAUCUUCUGAGAAAACCCAGCAGAAUCACGACCAUCUCCCUUCCUCUUUUUACGUCCAACAGGUACUAUAAGUACAGGGCUGGAAACGACUGGUGAUUCCUCCUUAGCGGUCUUCUUCUCCGCCCCAUCUGAAGCUGCGUAGAAAUCUCCGCCAUGGGCGAUUCCAAGGAGAGCCAUAGCAGUGAUAGCGGCGGCAGUGGGUGGAUGUCGGUGCCAGCGUUCGGGGAGUGGGACAUGAAGAACGGGGUGCCCGACUACUCCAUGGACUUCACCAAGAUCCGGGAGAUGCGGAAGCAGAACAAGAACCCCUCCCGCGCCAGCCUCGGCAACGACGACGAGCUCCUCACCAGCAACAGGCUCCGCUCCGACGGCGGCAACAAGGAGGAGGAGCAGGAGGCUCAACGCCGUCUUCCCCAGCACGACCAACGCCGCCCCAUCCAUCACCACCGCGGCGGCUCCCCCACCGGGAGGAAGAAGUUUAUGGGCUGCUUCCAGUGCUGUAUAGGUGCGUGAGGCAGUGGCUGCCUGCAACACACACACAUUCACACAGACACAGGCUCACUCCCUGGUGUUGCGUGCUUUGUAUUUGUUGGCUAGAGGAUGGUGACUGCUUGGGCUGCACCGAUGUUCACUUUUGCGUCUGGGAUUGCUUACCAUACACGGAGCUAACUCUUAGGCAGCUUUGUUCGUCGAGGAACUUUCUCUGGUUGGAUUUAUAUGGAGAAAAUGUCAGGAAUGUCACCUUCAUCUUAUGAAAAAAGGAGGCUCCCGGCCCAUAUGUUCCUUGUCUUGUA